AUGGUCGCAAGUUCAACUCCACAAGAGGGUACCAGUACAGCAGUGGAGCAGCCAAAACUGACCGGUUCUAGAAGGAAGCGUACAUCAGAUGUAUGGGAUGAUUUUAAGAUACAACUAAUCAAUGGGAAAUGGCAGGCAAUAUGCAACUGGUGUCAUAAGCCAUAUGCUGCAGAAUCAACCUCUGGUACGUCACACUUAAGGACACAUCAUAAUAAUUGUCCGGCUCGGCAUGCACCAGUGGGUCCACAACAAAGCAAACUAAAGUUGUCAAAAUGUGGGGAUGGGACAGUAAAUUUGGAGACCUAUAUUUUUGAUCAAGAACUUGCUAGGAAGGAACUUGCAUUAAUGAUAUGUGUGCAUGAGUACCCUCUGUCUAUUGUUGAUCAUGCUGGAUUCCGAAAAUUUUGUGGUACUUUGCAACCAAUGUUCAAGGUGGUGUCUAGAAAUACCAUUAGGCAGGACAUUAUAAAUAUGUUUGGAGUCCAAAAGAAUAGCAUGGUGAAGUACUUUGCAAAGUUUGAGAACCGAGUAGCCAUCACAAUGGAUUUGUGGACGGCUGGCCAUCAAAAGAGGGGCUAUAUGGCUGUAACUGCACAUUAUAUUGAUGCUUCUUGGAACCUAAAGAGCUUCCUAAUGAGGUAA
rnacentral:rRNA from 1 species